UAAUGCUAACCAUUACACCAUCCGUACUGCCCCAACCGGUCAGGCUCCCUAUGGACGGGAUCCCGGCUGCUAAAAUACAGAUGCCGGGAUCUCGACACAGCUAAGAAGACCAGCACCGGAAUACCGGAUGGAAUCAGAAUCCCGACACCCGGAAUCUCAACACCCAGAAUCCCGAUUGUUUUAUUCCUGACACAAAAGUCAGAUCAACCGCCGGAUACAGUACUCCAACAUCAUAACCCAUCAGCACAGUAUAUAGUCAAGGCGUCAUUUGCCCUUUCCGAUAACUUUUUAAUGAUACCACAUUCCCAGAAGUUGUGGAAAAAGGUUGCCGAAGAGUGAAAGCAUUUCAUGCAACUUCCAGUCUCUUCCGCUACAAAAUGUCGCCUCUGUGCCUGGGAGAUAUAUGCUCUGUACACAGUUUUAACAUGAAUCUCUUGUAGGGAGGAUGUCUUCAGUAUCUGUAAUGUUUUAUUAUAAUGUUGGAAUAUGUAUUC